rnacentral:rRNA from 1 species
CAACGCGCCUGGCCCGCUUUUAGUGAGUGCCGGUGCGCGUUUGCCAUCCUUCUAGAAAACGUUUCUACCUGGGCAACCGGGCCGGACUCGCGAUCUAGAUCUUUUACUUUGAAAAAAUUAGAGUGUUUAAAGCAGGCUUUUGCUGUGAAUACAUUAGCAUGGAAUAAUAAUCUAGGACUUCGGUUCUAUUUUGUUGGUUUCUAGUACUGAAGUAAUGAUUGAUAGGGAUAGUUGGGGGUGCUAGUAUUGGCCGGCCAGAGGUGAAAUUCUUGGAUUCGGUCAAGACUAACUUAUGCGAAAGCAUUCACCAAGGAUGUCUUCUUUAAUCAAGAACGAAAGUUGGGGGAUCGAAGACGAUCAGAUACCGUCGUAGUCUCAACCAUAAACUAUGCCAACUAGGGAUGGGUGAACGUUGUUUUUUUGACUUCAUCUGCACCUUAUGAGAAAUCAAAGUCUUUGGGUUCCGGGGGGAGUAUGGUCGCAAGGCUGAAACUUAAAGGAAUUGACGGAAGGGCACCACCAGGAGUGGAGCCUGCGGCUUAAUUUGACUCAACACGGGAAAACUUACCAGGUCCGGACAUAGUGAGGAUUGACAGAUUGAAGAUCUUUCUUGAUUCUA